GAGUUAAAAUAGAGCUAGCCUCCCCUUUACCUGAUAAGCCCCAAGAAGGAAGGCUGGAGUUCUUAGUGGAUGGCUCCACAAAUGCAACAUCAGCAUUUCAAGGAAGAGGCGGAUAAAAUCUGGAAAAUGAAAUUUGUAAAUUCCUACAAAGAUCUUAUAUAUGCUUCAGGAAUUUAACCUGACAAUAGAUCCAUU